CAGGUAGGCUUAGUGUUUGCAAGUAUGGUUAUCCAGCCCUAAGUAACAGAAUUAAAGAUUUCUCUAUUAGACACAGAGGUCAUACUAGUAAAAGGAUUUUGCAAGAUCAGAUGACAUUAAAUUAUUAAACUAUAUCUUAAGGGAAAGAAUGUCUGUAACCCUAAAAGUUAAAUGUUGUGUUUACACCCCUGACAUUUCUGGCAAUGUGACAAAUAUCCUUAAAGAUUUACAUGCUCGGAUAGAAGCCAUGUCCUCAGCAACUUUGUCAUGGAAACAAUAUCUUAGCUCCUGGUUCUUGGUACUUCCUGGUGGAAAACAUUGUUAGUCUUUGUCUUUGCCAUCAUACUCAUUGGCAUAUUCCUGUGCUAUGGCAUUUAUUGCUGCAUCAAUAUGGUUCCAGUACUAAUGAAUUCUUGUUUCUCUUAUAGACCAUCCAUCACUCAAAUGGCCCUCCAGACUAUUACUUCUCAAUCAGACUUCUAUCAUGGACCACUCGAUAGACCCGAUUUUUAAAUGGGGACUCCAAACUGCUUGCCCCACAUCUUCCCUUUUCAGCCUGAAGAAGCCAGAAAGAUCUUCUUCGCCCCCCUUCCUUACAGCAGUAAGGAGUUCCCAACUUAGAGGGGGGAAUGAAGCCAGAUUUAAAGUUAGAUAGUCAGUGUAGUUAGGUAAAUCGGGUCUAAUAUCAAGUGAAAUCUAAAAUGGAGACCAUGCGGAGAAUGACUCAGGGAAAACACAGGACAACUCAUGGAAUGUUAAUGAAGUCCCAAAAGGCCCUAGGCCAAAGUCCACCUCAAAGAAAUGUUAAUGAACAGCCCCCAGCAAAAAGGUGCCUGACUCAGAAGUCCUUCCUGACCAGAUUACUUCUUUGGCCCACCUGAGUCCCACCCCUCGGGCCUUCCCACGUACAUUCCAUCACUGAAAGAACUAUAAAAAGGGGAGACAACAUCCCUUCCACGGAUUCCACCUCUUGGGUCCCCUUCUUCCUCCGGGAGAAGUCUUUUCUGCUGUCCUUUAAUAAACUUCUAAUUUCUACUCUGAAAAAAAAAAAAAGAUAUAAACUCCAAGUUGAAAUGUUGGUGUCUGAGGUGAGUUUUCAAGAGCCAGAGGACCUUGUUAGUAUAUUAAUCCUUUAUGCUGAGGAGUCCCAUCAACUCUGGUUACUAGACAAGUUUGAUUGGAAAGAGGUCCAGGAGUUUCAAUCAAUGGAGAAAAUCAAACCCCCAUGUCCAAAGGGCAAUUAACAUUACUUGCCACAUCAAAUAUAGCAAAAUUACCCAAUGCUCUUCUGAAAUGAUUCCAGUUGAUUGAAGAGAACUCUAGAAAGAUCAGGUAUCCUCAGUCUUUCAGGGCAGAUCAACUAUCUUAUCUCUUAUGAUUUCCCUCUUUGCAGAAGGGGCAUAACUCAGGUGUGGGUGGACUCUGGGGCAGUCCUUGCUCCAGGGUCCAGGAUCACUGCAAUGGUAGCAGCCUCUGGGAUUAGAGUUAUUUUUCCCCUAUUUUAUAUAGCGCCUUGGGGCACCUUUGAGGACAGGGGGCUUUUGCCUAAGGUAAGGUGAGCAGUUAGGCCUGUUCUGAAGCCUGGAUUCAUCUCUUUGGAGCCUUCUUAUUUUCCACUCUCUAACUUAUAUUGGAGCCAAGCUGUGUUACAGAAAAAAAAAAAUCAGGUUCUUUUUCCUCUAGUGCUCUGCCUUCAAAUAAUUUCAGUUAUUUAAUAUGUACCUGAGGUUAGUUCUCAGAGAAAGACACUGAAUUACCCAUAAUCUUGUAAGCACAUGUUCAAAGCUUUCCUUAUAUCUUUCUGGGAAAAAAAAUCUAAAGAAAAACAGGACACUUUUUAAAGUUCCUUCUGUAUAAUUCAUGAGUUUCUAAACUGGGAUGAGACAUUGCUCUAUCACCAACUGCCACAUCAGGAAUCUUAUUUUGUAAGUUUUCCAUGAGACUCAUACAUUCCCAUAGUGAACCUGGAUGAGCAGCACUGGCCUAUCUCACUUUACUGUCUACCUUUGGGUUUGGGGUCCUUGCAACUGGGGAAGCAGCCUUGAUUGGAAAUAAAUAGGCUAGAUCAUUCCUUCUAUUAAUUACCAGUGACUUGAGCAUCUUUGCCUUUAAUACACAGACAUAUUUCUUACUUCUCAGCCUCUGGACCAUUUCCCACCAACCCCUGCAUUUUUCAUUAAAAAAAAAAACAACAACAACAAAAAUUUCAAGAAUGCAAGCCCACUCACAUCUUUUCAUUUCAUGGCCAAAAUGUAGAAAAAGACAUACAUAUAAGUUAUAUGUUUAACCUUUUAUGAAAAGAAUAUCUCUGGGACAAACUAGAUGUGCUUGACAGAUUAUGGGCUUUCUACAACCCCAGCCUUUUUUAUGUAUUAUUUUGAGGCAGGGUCUCACUCAAUUGCUUAGGGCCUGACUGAAUUCCCAAGGCUGGCUUUGAAUUUGUGGUCCUUCUGUCUCAGCCUCCCAAGCCACUGGGAUUACAGGUGUGAGCCAUCACUUUUUGGUAGUAUUUUUUCAGCAGAUGUUCCAGAAAACCAAGAGGUGAGUAGGUCUGUUAGAUUGGAAUCCAGUUGACACAGCACAAAUUUAAGAUUCUGGCAGAGUCUUCUGUGAUAAUUAUCAGUAACUCAUGCAUAAGAACUUUCUUUACAACUUCCUGGUUUUACUUAGUUCUUUGAAGGGCUAACACAAGUGACUUCACCUUCAUUCAGAUGACUCUCUCUCUCUCUCUUUUAAUCAAAUGCUGCCUUGUCUUUGUGACAGUUUUCCUGAAGACAAUUGCUGAUCACUGAUCCUGUUUGAUUGCCCCUCAUUGCUAGGAUGCAUCUGUCUGUCCCACAUUGGAGGGAUAGUGAUUACUGAAUGGGAUUCAGUAUCAAAGUCUCUUUUGACAUAUUUGGGCAACAAGGAGGAUUAGAAGGAGUGGUUUUUAGGCCAAGCUUACCUGAGUCCACUGUUAGGUUUUUUAAAAUCUUGUAUGUUCUGUAGGGAAUGGCCUGCAUCUCAAAACAUCAGUCCAGAUCCUUAUGAGGUGUGGCACUUCUGCAGAAUUCCGAAAGGAUACAUUAACAAAGCUUUAAAAGGAAAAUACUUUUAAUAAAAACAAAAGCAAUCUAAACACUGUUGCUGACACAGAUAUUCUUAAAUAAAGUUUGUUUGUAAACUGAAAAAAAAGGAAAAUACCAAACAAAACCAAGAAGACAAAAUGAAUUUAGUUUGUAUAGCACUUUUAAAUAUUGGAACAAUUUUUCAAGCAUACAAAAUUUUAAUAAGAAAAUCAAAGGAUAACCAGUUUGUAAAAAAAAGUUUGGUUUUAUUAGAAAUAUGUAUAUAUGAGUACUUGUUGGAGUCUGUCCUAGGACUCUGGUUGUAAAUGCUUCAGAGAGAAUCAGACCUGUGGACCACAAAUGACUUAAAACAGCUGCGGUUAGGAUUUUGAUGAGAAUUUGGAAACUAAUGUGACAAUUUAGCUACAUUCAUAGUACAUUAAAUUUUAAGAUAGUACUUAUGACUAACAGUAUUAUGGCAGGACCACGAGAUUUCCAAGUUUUAGAAUGUCUUUAGAACAUUUUUAUCAAUGCCAUAUAUCCCAUAUCAUGAUAAAAUUAUAGUUGCUCAUUUAAUUAGACUUAACUAGAGAUAUAAAGUGAUCAUGUGAUGGAUUUUAAAACAUAUAUUCAAUGAACCUUGAAUGUAAC
rnacentral:lncRNA from 1 species